AGCAUUUGUGCCAAUUUCUGGUUGGA
rnacentral:piRNA from 1 species